AUAGCGUAUAUUAAAGUUGUUGCGGUUAAAAAGCUCGUAGUUGAAUCUGUGUCCCACGCUGCCGGUUCGCCGCUCGCGGUGUUUAACUGGCAUGAUUGUGGGACGUCCUACCGGUGGGCUUAGCCUCUCGGGGCGGCCCAACUAAUAUCCCAUCGCGGUGCUCUUCACUGAGUGUCGAGGUGGGCCGGUACGUUUACUUUGAACAAAUUAGAGUGCUUAAAGCAGGCUACUUUCGCCUGAAUACUGUGUGCAUGGAAUAAUGGAAUAGGACCUCGGUUCUAUUUUGUUGGUUUUCGGAACCCCGAGGUAAUGAUUAAUAGGGACAGAUGGGGGCAUUCGUAUUGCGACGUUAGAGGUGAAAUUCUUGGAUCGUCGCAAGACGGACAGAAGCGAAAGCAUUUGCCAAAAAUGUUUUCUUUAAUCAAGAACGAAAGUUAGAGGUUCGAAGGCGAUCAGAUACCGCCCUAGUUCUAACCAUAAACGAUGCCAGCUAGCGAUCCGCCGAAGUUCCUCCGAUGACUCGGCGGGCAGCUUCCGGGAAACCAAAGCUUUUGGGUUCCGGGGGAAGUAUGGUUGCAAAGCUGAAACUUAAAGGAAUUGACGGAAGGGCACCACCAGGAGUGGAGCCUGCGGCUUAAUUUGACUCAACACGGGAAACCUCACCAGGCCCGGACACCGGAAGGAUUGACAGAUUGAUAGCUCUUUCUUGAUUCGGUGGGUGGUGGUGCAUGGCCGUUCUUAGUUGGUGGAGCGAUUUGUCUGGUUAAU
rnacentral:rRNA from 2 species